ACCUUCGGUGCCCGAGUUGUAAUUUGGAGAGGGCAACUUUGGGGCCGUUCCUUGUCUAUGUUCCUUGGAACAGGACGUCAUAGAGGGUGAGAAUCCCGUGUGGCGAGGAGUGCGGUUCUUUGUAAAGUGCCUUCGAAGAGUCGAGUUGUUUGGGAAUGCAGCUCUAAGUGGGUGGUAAAUUCCAUCUAAAGCUAAAUAUUGGCGAGAGACCGAUAGCGAACAAGUACAGUGAUGGAAAGAUGAAAAGAACUUUGAAAAGAGAGUGAAAAAGUACGUGAAAUUGUUGAAAGGGAAGGGCAUUUGAUCAGACAUGGUGUUUUGUGCCCUCUGCUCCUUGUGGGUAGGGGAAUCUCGCAUUUCACUGGGCCAGCAUCAGUUUUGGUGGCAGGAUAAAUCCAUAGGAAUGUAGCUUGCCUCGGUAAGUAUUAUAGCCUGUGGGAAUACUGCCAGCUGGGACUGAGGACUGCGACGUAAGUCAAGGAUGCUGGCAUAAUGGUUAUAUGCCGCCCGU
rnacentral:rRNA from 1 species